rnacentral:rRNA from 1 species
UACGUAGGGUGCGAGCGUUGUCCGGAAUUACUGGGCGUAAAGGGCUCGUAGGCGGUUUGUCGCGUCGUCUGUGAAAUUCUGGGGCUUAACUCCGGGCGUGCAGGCGAUACGGGCAUAACUUGAGUGCUGUAGGGGUAGCUGGAAUUCCUGGUGUAGCGGUGAAAUGCGCAGAUAUCAGGAGGAACACCGAUGGCGAAGGCAGGUUACUGGGCAGUUACUGACGCUGAGGAGCGAAAGCAUGGGUAGCGAACAGG